GCUACCAUAGCUCAGAGGUUAGAGCACUGGUCUCGUAAACCAAGAAGUCGCGAGUUCGAAUCUCUUUAGUGGCU